GUUGUAGCGCAUCCAAUAGAAAGGAGUCUUGGCUAUCGGGACUUGUCAACUGACGGCGACCAUAGAGUGGAGGCAUGCUAGAGUGUCAUUAUCCCUUGUCCCUUCCGGAAACUGUUUCUCUGGCUAGGGCGGGACUUCCGGUGGCUCAGGGCAGCAAAAAGCAAUAGGGUUGGGAAAAGUCGAUUGCUGUGGUUUUGCUGGCGAGAAUCCCGUCUCCUCGAAUUACGAGCGGUGCUCCUAGGCAAAUUAACCACUCAGAGCUUUGAUUUAUUCUCGUGAUGGUCGCUGAGGAUUCAAUGGGAGGACGAAAAUUACGUCGAGUUUUCGGAUUUUAUUUUUGAACGCCUGUUUCGAAUGACGGUUCUUGGUGGCUGUUGGAAAGAAAAGCAAGAAUCUUAAAUCGUUCAUUAACCGAGUGACUUUGGCCCCUCCGGGUCAGUUUUGUCAUCUGUAAAGUGGGAAUAGGAACUGGCUACCUCGGUAGGUUUUUUCAGAAUGCAGUCGCCGCAUGUCCACAGUGCUUCGAGUGGCACAGAAGCAGCGGCGUUCGAUAAAUGGGAGCAAAUUAAAGAGCAGGUAUUACAGUUAAACUGCUGUGGCUGGAGUCGGGGGCCAGGUGGCAUCCCAGGGCUAGCUGACCCAUCGCAGCCCUUUGAAAAGAAGGACCGAGGACCCACACAGGCGGCUCCGGAGUGCUUCCCGCCAGAAAUGCAGGGAGCUGGGGCUGGGGGAGACCCAGCUGUCCCACUGCCCACCUGGCUCCCCGGUAACUCCCCUGGAAAACGGCUCGAGGAUCAGGCCUCUGCCACUCCCGUGGGAGACCCUGACGGAGAUCCCGCCUGCUGGCUUUGGCCUGGCCCAGCCCUGCGGAGUGGACCAGUGGAGAGCAAAUUCUGCGCUCUCCCUCUCUCUCUCCCAUCCUGCCUUUUAAUUCAGUGGAGGAAGGAGGGAGGGCGACGGGAAGGGAGGAAAGGAAGGGAAUACGGUGAGCUCGGCGCCCUUGCACGGUCUCCAUCUGGGCAGGCCGUGCUCUGGCUGGCCUGCUUGGUGCGGUGGCUGGAGCAGGUCAGGCCCAGAAGCCAAAGCAAGUCCCGGCGCCCAGCUAGGUUGCCAGGGAGGGGGAAGGACCUUCCUCCUGAUGGGAAGAGUAGGGGCCUUGAAACAGAGGGGUCCAGAGCUCCCCCUGUGGAAUAACCCGGUUUUCUACAAGCACAGGUCCAAAGGCGCUUUCUGGCAUACUGAGACCCUUGGAAGUGCGGCUGCCUCGCCCUCAGCCAUCUCUUGGGUGUGUUCAUAAAUCGGAUCUGUGCACCCAUCAAGCCGAGGUAUGUACCGAGCUUCUCUGAGGUUCUGCAUACAGUCUGGUAUCACACUGCAGUCAACAAGACCGAGAUCUCUGCUAUGGCCUGGGAAAGCAGCAGAAGAUGGCCCAAGUCCUUGGGCCCCUGCACCCACAUGUGGGAGACCCAGAAGAAGCCCCUGGCUCCUGGCUUCAGAUCAGCACAGCUCCGCUGUAGCAGCCAUCUGGGGAGUGAACCAGUGGAUGGAAGACCUCUCUCUCUCUCUACCUCUCUCUGUAACUCUUUCAAAUAAAUAAAAUAAAUCUUUAAAAAAUAAAUUACAUUGCUUAGUGAGACUAUGACCAUCCAGCAAACUGUGAUACUCAUACAGAGACAAUAUUGCCCAGCACCACAUUUCUAGCACAUACCCUCUAUCCUUGAGUGACACCUGCCUGUACUAAGAACCCUGGUAUACAGAUAUGAACAACACCAGCAAAGACUCAGCCUCAGAAAACCCUGGAGGUGCGGCCCCAGAGCACACACAGGUCAGGGUCACGAGAAUUGGGCCCACGAUGCUUUCCUCUGUGUUGGGCCUAAUUUCUGCUGAGUUCUAGAUGCAGACCCCCAGGAAUCAGACCACUCCAAAUAUGCUGGCCAUCACAGGUCUGAAGGAGGUGCUUUAAUCGCAGGGUAUGGUGCAGCUGGUUCAGGCACUGCUUGGGACGCCCGCAUCCCAUGUCAGAGUGCCUGUUGUCCAGUCCUGUGUGCUCCCAGUGCAGCCCCUGCUAAUGUACCCGGGAGGUAGUGGCUCAUGGCCCGAGUACUUGGGUUCCUGCCACCUACCUGAGAGACACAGAUGGACUUCCUGGCUUCUGGCUUAGGCCUGGCCCAGUCCUGGCUGGCUGUAGGCAUUUGGGGAAGCUGCAGAUGGAAGACUCUCUCCCUCCCUCCCUUCCUCUCUCCCUCAC